AAACCAGUAGAGGGGCGGUAGAGAGAGAGGGGCCCAGAGAGAGACAGAGAAAGGGGCAGUGGGGGAGAGAGCAGAGACGCGCAGUGGAGCGGCUGAAGAGGGGACAGGGCGAGGACAGAGCCGGCACAGAGGAGGCGGAGAGGCGAGAGUUAGCGCCGGGACGCUGAGGCAGAGGGAAGGACAGUCGGUCGGUGGAUUUCACCCGUCGCCCUGCGGCUGCCGGCAGCCUCGCUCGCCCCCAUGUCUGCUGAAUAAUGAGAGUAUGUGGAUGGUUGCGAAGGAGAGCGGCUGAGUUUGCACCCUCCCACCGCCAGUAACCCGGGGCUGCACCGGACAGCUCCUCUCCGAGUCUCCGCCGAGCGGAUCUGGGAUGCUUCAAUGUUUCUUCAGAAGCGAGCGUGGCUGGCCCGUUGAGGCGGUCAGGACGGCCGAUCAGUACCCGGGACAGCGGUUGUCGGCGCCUUCUCCCUGGCCCAAGUUGCGCCGGAGUCAAACGUUAAAGGUCACGGCAACUUGUGUGUUAAUAUUCAGAGCAGAGAACCAUCUGACUGGUUGGUGGUGAGCGGCGCCGUUCCCACAUCUCUCUCUCUCUCUCUCUCUCUCUCCUCACACACUCACUCUCUCACACUCGUCCACAAGAUGAGCCGUGGUCAGCUCGGUCCGGACAGCCGCUUGGAGAAGUGAAGGCGACCUCCAUCCAUGUAUCUGGGCAUCCACGGCUUUAUCCGGAUGCCAUGGUCAAUUCUGUCACGCCUUGAAUCAAGAUUCAGUUCUACUUUUGGAAUUAAAAUGGUCGUGGUUUUACAUCAAUGCGAUUUGAGGUAAGGGACAUUGGCAAUGGGAAGGAAUGGGUCAUGGUCUUGAUAGUUCCUCUGUUGACCUCUUGAGGAAUGUUCAUCAUGUCUACAUAUUUUCACCUGUGAGUCAUUAUAAUUUGUGUCACCUAUUGAGAUCACCAUUAGUUCCUCUGCAGGUCCAUGUAUCCACAUUUACAAUUGCUGGAUUGUUCUAGUUUAGUUUUUAGUUUAUUACUGUCAGGCAUAACAAAGUACAGUUUGUUGUGUGCUAUCCAGUCAAAGAAAAGACCAUACAUGAUUACAAUCAAGCUGUCCACAGUGUACAGAUAUGGGAUAAAGGGUACAACAUUCACAGUAGGAUCAAGUCUGAUUAAAGAUAUUUCAAUAUUCUAAGUGUCCUCUAAAGCCAGGUGAAGGGUCAUUAUCUGCACUGUAGGAAUCCCAGGAACAGGCUCUGACUAUUGUAUUACCUGCAGGAGUGUAAACUUCCCAAACACAAUAAAAAUCGAAGAGGUUGAUGUGGGAAAUUCUGCAAAAUAAUUGGCACAUUUUCAAAUACUGUAAGAUAUUAGACCCAAAAACCCUCUGUGAAGUGUGACCAGUGAAGGGGAACAGUUGAAUUCAAUAUCACAUUACUGCCUAUGUGAGGACAGGGCACAUGUGAUGCACAGGCUGCCUUUGUGGUUUCACCGGGUCUGAUGGCAACGUCAUGUUAUUGGACGUUUCUGUUGAGCGGCAGUCGGUUCGUUGGCCUGCAGGCGAUCCCACCUUUCGGGUAGGUGGCGUUUCGACAGAGUGGCCAAUCGGUAAGUUUGCUUUUAGGCAACGCACCUAUUCGGUUCGUUGGCUUUUAGGUAUCCCGCCCUUUCGGAUAGUUUGCAUUUAGGUGUCCCAUCCUUUCGGUUAGUAGGUGUUUCGUCUUCGGACUCUUUCGGUUUAUUGGCGUUUCGGCCUCGUUUCCAUUCGGUUCUUUGGCUUCGACUUGUUUGCUUCGGCUUCUUGUCUGUUGGCACCACGUCCGGGUACCCCAGAAAUAUAUGCCAGCUCACAGAUGGGCUGAAUGGUGGCUGCCAUUGUGCAUUACCCAAGGCCUUUGCGAAGUCUGACCAGGUAGUAAUGCAAAGAGACAUGCACCAUCUGGUCUGCAUCACUCAGAAUGACGUCAACGUAAUGUGGUGAACGUAAUGAAAACACUCCCACUGACAUUCAUAGGUGCUUCCUGCCCCCAACUAUGCCAGAUUUUGUAGCUUUGUACCUAGAGAUCACCUCUAUUCCCAUUCACCUGCCUUGUAUCUGCGCCUUCUACCACAGAGAGUGAGUGGGCAAUUGCCCACAGACACUCUCUCAUCACGUUACACUUACUUUGCAUCUAAGGGAUUGUUGGGUGUUUACUCCUGCCCACGGUAACUCACACCCUCCACCCCACCUCAUUCAGAAAAACUUUGAAUUUGUUUAAAACCACGUGGAACCUUUCACUGUGUAAGAAGAAGCGUCUCGACACAAAACGUCGCCAUUCCGUCUCUCCAGAGAUGCUGCCUGGCCCGCUGAGUUACUCCAGCAUUUUGUGUCUACCUUUGGAACCUUUUCAUAGGGCUGAAAUAAAUGUCGCCCCUGCCAAAGAUAGACACAAUGUGCUGGAGUAACUCAGCGGUUCAGGCAGCAUCUGUGGAGAAAAGGGAUGGGUGACGUUUCGGGUCUUUCUACACAUGUUGUCUGUCCCUGCCACUUCCCUUCAUCUCUUCCCACCUGGGGCUUCCACAGGCUGGCUUCCCACAGCAAAUCCUGGCAAUGUUUCUAUUUGCAGUGGGAAGAGGGCCUGAAGCUUGUGCAGCAAAAAUAACUAGUCAAACUAGUCAUAACUAGGCAUAAUAGUUGUAACAAGUCCAACCAUGCAAGUUGCACAGCCACAGGAACAUUAAUUUAGAACCUUUACUCCAAAAUAAAUGUCCUAACAGUUCUUUGGUGGUGUAGGGAAACAUUGAAUGCAAAGAUGAUCAAUCAAAGUAUUUGGAGAAGUUUGUUUUUGUGUUUUUUAAAAUAUUUUUAUUAGAAGCAACGAACAUACAUAAUAAUCAUGGUAUAUAACA